rnacentral:lncRNA from 1 species
GUUCAAGUCACUUUUUGACCUUUCUAAGUCUCUAGAUGUCCCUCUCUCUCUCUCUCUCUCUCUCUCUCUCUCUAUUCUGGACUUUCAUCUUCUUCGUCUGAUUUUCUUCGAUCUUUUUGAUCUCUUAUGAGUGAUCUAGCUAGAAUAUUAGUUGAAUCUAUGGGAUUCAUGUUGCUACAGUAAUCAAGCCUGAAAUAUUGGCUGAUUUGGUGUUUGUAGUGGUUGGCAAAAAGUCAUGUUCCUAUUUUUGGUAAGGUUCUUGAGAUUUAAGAGAUCCAAGUGUGGAUCGAUGAUUAUCUCUAAGUCCAAUUCCGUCUUCAUGCUUGUACUCCAUUUGGAUGGUUUUUUUGUGCUUAGUAAUCGGGCUAAUCUCUGAGCCUCCAGAUUAGGCAAUUGCCGAACUAGGUGAACAAUUUAUCGCGUUCAUUUACUUUUCUUGCACUGUGUUUGAUGUUUCCUUUACAGUUUUCUUUAACAAUAAGUAGGAAGAAAGCCUAACAACUGGUAUUAGAGCCUUUGAGGUUCUUGGGGGUGCAAGUUUUUGAACCAAAAAUUGUUUGAGUUAAUUUUUCUUGGUCUGAUUUUUCUUGGGGUUGCCAAUUUUCUUAACAAACUGUGAGGCCAGCAAUAUUAGAUCAGUUUUUUAAUAUAAACUAAAAGAUCUAAUUCUUGUCUUUUCUGUAUUGUUGUUUUGGAAGGAAAAAGGUUGGUGAAAGGUGGUAAGACAACUACGGUCUACUUCCAGAAAUGAGGAGUUCUUUCUGUCCUCAAGUUGAGACCAGCAGUGUGUUCUUCUUUAUUGUUAAGACAGUCUAUGGUGAGUACGUUUUAAUUUUUUUUGCUUUUGUAGAGUAAUUUCAAUUCUUGAUAUUUGAUAUGAGAUAUAUACAUGUGAUACAUGGUAGAAUGGGUACUGUGAUUUGAAUUGGAUACUUCUGUUAGUGUGAGCAUAUUGCAUUAGAUAAGUUCUUCUAUAUAACUUGGUGUACUCACUCUGUAUCAAAUAUUAUUGUUCUUAUUUCAAAUUUGGUGAACAUAUAUCUGCGUGGAUUCUUGGAAUUUUUUCAAAACCAUUUUCUGCUCACUAGUUGAUCUUUAAUUCAAGAUUAAAACUAUGUCCAUGAGUAUAGGCUACCCUUUUACAAAACUCGUGAUGGGUUCGAAGGUCGAAUUGUCUAAAUUCGAUGGAAAGGAGGAUUACUCUAUAUGGAAGCAGAAAAUGAGAGCUAUUUUGGUUCAACAGAGUGUCGCUAAGGCCCUUUAUGAUCCUAAAACUUUUUCUGCAGAACUUAAGACAAAACCAAAUGAAAUUGAAGACAUGAAUGAAAUUGCUUAUAGUUCCAUAAUUUUACAUUUGUCUGAUAACAUUGUAAGGCAAGUUGAUGAACCCAAAACUACUAGAGCCCUAUGGACUACUCUUGAUGCUAUGUUCCUAACUAAAACACUUCCAAAUAAAAUUUUUCUCUUGGAGAAGCUGUUUAACUUUAGGAAAGACCUUGAGAAGGACUUAGAGGUAAAUUUGAGUGAAUUUAGUAUAAUAGUGAAAAGCCUUGCACACAAUGAGAAAAAAUUUGAUGAUGAAGACCUUGUUGUAAUCCUGCCAAACUCAUUACUUGACUCAUAUAAAAAUGUUUAAAAAAAAAAAAAAAAUACUCAAGGGAUAAACUAACUCAAGCUAUAGUCAUUGAUGCUUUGAGGCCUAGGUAGUUAGAAGUCAAAAUGGAAACUAAAUCUAAUCCUAGAGAUGAAAGCAUGUAUGUAGGAAGAAGACCUGUAAAGAGAGAGUAAUUUUUCCACAAAGAAGGGAAAAGGGAAAUUCAAAACCAUAUCAAAAUUUAGAGAUAAAAGCAACAAGAAGUGUUACAUUGUGGAAAAUUGGGACACUUCAAAAGGGAUUGCUUUGAACCAAAAAGGAAACAAAGAGAUCUUAAUAAUGGGGAGUUAAAUAAUAACACUAUGGAAGCUGGGGUUGACAGUCUCUAUGGUGAGGAAGUUAAUAAAGAUUGGUUAUUAAAGUCCAAGUGUACCUUUCACACGUGCCCUAUAAAAGAUUGGUUCCAUAAUUACAAAGAAAUAGAACCGAGGAAAGUGUACUUGAGGGAUAAUAAUUCACAAACUAUUGUUGUAAUUGGAAAUAUUGCCAUAAAAAUGCAUAAUGGCACUGUCAAGUCAAUCUUGAAUGUAAGAUAUGUUUCUAAUCUGAAAAGAAACCUAAUAUCCUUAGGGAUUCUUGAAGAUGAAGUACAUACCUUCAAGUCUGACAACAAAGUAUUAAAAAUAAUGAAAGGUUCACUUGUUGUGAUGAAAGGAUAAAAAAUAGAUGGGUUGUACUAGCUUGAAGGUAAAGCGAUUAAUGUUCUUGAUUCCAAUCUACCCACCGUUACUGAGAAUAAAACUGAAUUGUGGCACGAAAGAAUGGGACAUAUUGGGAAUAAAGGGUUUUAAAAUCUUUAAGUAAUCAAAGGUUGCUUGGAAAAGAUUUUGUUGAAACCAUAGAAUUUUGUGAAACCUGUGUUCUUGGAAAAUCUCACCGGAUGAACUUUGAAACAGGUUCACAUGUUACUAAGAAACCCUUAGAUUAUGUCCAUGCCGACUUAUAGGGGCUUGAAAGUCACCCCACUUUUGGUGGCAAUAGAUAUUUUUUUUCAUCUAUUGUUGAUGAUUAUUUUAGAAAAGUGUGGGUCUUUUCUUUUAAAGGCUAAGUCUGAUACCUUUCAAAAAUUCAGAAUAUGGUUGAAAAUCAAUUGGAUAAAAAAUUUAAAAUCUUAAGGACUGACAAUGGUCUUGAAUUCUGAAUUUCAAAACUUCUGUAAACAGAAAGGUAUCUUGAGACAUAGGACUGUCAAAAACACCCCCAACAAAAUAGGACCUUGAUGAAUAAGGUCAUAUGCAUGCUGAUCAGUUCAGGGCUUACAAAAGGGUUCUGGACUGAAGCAGUGUGUACAGCUACUUAUCUAAUUAAUAGAUCACUUUCAAGUUCCAUUGGACUUAAAACACCCCGGGAAUUAUGGUCUGUCAAAAAACUAGACCUGUCUAAUACCAAGGUAUUUAGGUAUGCUGCUUGUGCACGUCAAGUUGAAGGGAAGUGAGACCCAAGGGCAACAAAAUGUAUUAUGUUGGGUUACUCUGAAGGUAUAUAUUUUAUGUGGUUAUAAUAUUAUACUAGUAUCGAUAUAAUACCAAUCAUGACAUAUAUUUUAAAAGUUUAGUAAAGAACAAAUUACUAUUAAGUAGUAAAGUAUAUCCCUCUAUAAUACACAACAUUGACUCUUCUAGUUUAUGUUUGGUUCUAUCUUUAGACUAAAGGAAAACCAAGCCCGACAGAAUAAGCAUUUGAAAGCUUUUAUAACAUGUUAAAAUUUAAUUGGAAUAUUUUUAACUUUUUAUCAAAUACAUCCCAUCAAAAUAUUGAACAAAAAUAAACAUCUGUGAUACACCGAUAAUAUGUUAUUCCUAAACAACAAAAAUAAAUUCGUGGCAUGUUUCAAAUUCUAGUGGUCAAAUGAAAUCAUAAGAGAAUUAUCAUUAACAAUUAUGAGAAGUCUUACAGAAGCAAUUUCUCUUCAUUCACCAUGCAAAUAUGAUCUAAAGUCCAAUCUAACUAUCAACUAAAAUACGUUAGAAUAUAAUAAAGAGACUUCAUUUUGCAUGUUCAUACGUAUAAACACAUUCCGAUUUCAAAUAUUCAAUCCAAUGCAACGCCAUGGAUAUUUUUCAAAGAAUAAAUUUGGGAACAAAGAUUGAGAAGAAAAUUCCUUUGUCGCCAGAUAAGGAUUGGCAUUUCCCGCAUCACAAUUUUUUUUUUCUUUUCAGACAAAAAAUUGUUUAUUGAUCAACGAGAAAAUAAAGCUUUUGCAUAAUUAUUAGGCGAGAUUAAAUUGCACGGUAUUCUUUUAAAAUAUUUGCAUGCACAGGUCACGAUUCUUCAAGAAUAUAACUAUAUUUUUUCGAUUAUUAAUACGAUAUUUAAUUAUAUCAUAUUUAGUUAUUCUUUUUUCAGGAUUGUAAAAUAAUUAAACAUUAUUAGAAAUUAUAUGAUAUUUUCAAGAUUUAUGGUAUUUUAGGAG